UACAGAGGGUGCGAGCGUUAAUCGGAAUUACUGGGCGUAAAGGGUGCGUAGGUGGUUAUGUAAGUUAGAUGUGAAAUUCCUGGGCUUAACCUGGGGACUGCGUCUGAUACUGCAAAGCUAGAGUACUGUAGAGGAAAGUGGAAUUUCCGGUGUAGCAGUGAAAUGCGUAGAUAUCGGGAGGAACACCAGUGGCGAAGGCGGCGAUCUGGGAAGAUACUGACGCUGAGGUGCGAAAGCGUGGGGAGCGAACAGG
rnacentral:rRNA from 1 species